GGCUAGCGCGCAAAUGAUGACCUCAGGCCAGGUUUAAAGUUACAGGGCUGCAGCUGCGGGCCUCCGGGACAUGCGGAGAGCCUUGAGCGCUGGCAAAAUUGGACCCAGAAGGAGAAGUCUGCAAGCUGCAUUUUAGGGAGCGGGAGGCGCCCCACCCCGGAAGCAGGGGACCAGGCUGCAGAUGGAGUACCUUCCACCCUGAGGGGUGCUGGUGAGUGACUGUUAGGAUCUCACCUGCUGAUCCUUCUCGGAGCCUCAGCACCUCCUGGCUUCCUGGGAAGACUUCUCAGCGUCUUCUCUUUUUGCAACACACGCUACUCCAGAGCUGAUAACCACCAGAUUCAAUCUCCAACUCAAAGGCACCUCCGUGAUGCAGGGUAAAAUAGUGCACUUAGAUGUUUUUUACCCCAGAAUCGAAUUCAGCACCACACAUUGCUCUUCGCCAGCGUGUCUGCAGAUGCCGGAACUCACCUUCAGCCUUGGUCUUCCAUGAACUUGAUGCUUGCUGAAGACCACAGGCUAGUUAUUUUUAGAGUACCGUUCAGCCUGGGUUUGUCUGCUCUCUCCUCUGGAUUAGAUUCAGUUUAUGUAUUUUUGGCUGGACAACACAAGGGAUGCUGUGCUUUCUCAGAGCAUCUCCUGGGUAGGCCCAGUUUCUAAUGCCCAGAGUGUCAACUUCCAUCCCUCCGCUAAGGUGUGCUGCUCCAGAAUUAGGACCCCCCCAGCACGGCCAGACUCACUCUAAUACUGUGUAUGCACAAAGGGAAAAACCAGUGUUUACUUGGCUACUUGGCACCCUGGGGCUAACGAGAUUUUUUUUUUUCAUCUCAGAAAAUAUUUCAUAAUAAGAUUUGGGUUGAAUAAGGAGCUGCAUUUCUUUUGUAAAUGGGAGAAGAGUUACUGGGAAGGUGUUUCCUUCUCCCACUGUUUUCAGAGGAAGGCUUCUGAAGAUUUGAGACAUUCUGAAGAUUUGAGACAUGCACCCCCAGAUCGAAGACUCCUGCCCUGUCCACCUGCCUGGCUGGAUCUCCUCCCAGCAUUGGGGCCAUCUCACCCCAUCCCACUAGAGCUAAAGGACUGAGCCCAGUGUGUUCCCAGCUGUGGUGUCUCCCUGCCUCCUCGGAAGAUAUGUGAGCUCCCUGAAGCCAAGGGUUUAUUCAUCUUUGUAACCCCCCUGCCUCUGACACAUGCUCCGUAAAUAUCUAUGA